rnacentral:rRNA from 1 species
GAUGAACGCUGGCGGCGUGCCUAAUACAUGCAAGUCGAGCGAACGGACGAGAAGCUUGCUUCUCUGAUGUUAGCGGCGGACGGGGGAGUAACACGCGGAUAACCUACCUAUAAGACUGGGAUAACUUCGGGAAACCGUAGCUAAUACCGGAUAAUAUUUUGAACCGCAUGGUUCAAAAGUGAAAGACGGUCUUGCUGUCACUUAUAGAUGGAUCCGCGCUGCAUUAGCUAGUUGGUAAGGUAACGGCUUACCAAGGCAACGAUGCAUAGCCGACCUGAGAGGGUGAUCGGCCACACUGGAACUGAGACACGGUCCAGACUCCUACGGGAGGCAGCAGUAGGGAAUCUUCCGCAAUGGGCGAAAGCCUGACGGAGCAACGCCGCGUGAGUGAUGAAGGUCUUCGGAUCGUAAAACUCUGUUAUUAGGGAAGAACAUAUGUGUAAGUAACUGUGCACAUCUUGACGGUACCUAAUCAGAAAGCCACGGCUAACUACGUG